rnacentral:tRNA from 1 species
AAGAAAGAUGGCUGAGUGGUCUAUAGCGACAAAUUGCUAAUUUGUUUAUACAUAAAUUUAAUAAAAUGUAACAAGGGUUCAAAUCCCUUUCUUUCU